GGAAGGUGGGGAGUGACGUCAAUCAUCAUGCCCCUUAUGACCUGGGCUACACACGUGCUACAAUGGUUGGUACAACGAGUUGCGAGUCGGUGACGGCGAGCUAAUCUCUUAAAGCCAAUCUCAGUUCGGAUUGUAGGCUGCAACUCGCCUACAUGAAGUCGGAAUCGCUAGUAAUCGCGGAUCAGCACGCCGCGGUGAAUACGUUCCCGGGCCUU
rnacentral:rRNA from 1 species